UCAGUGGGUCUGCUUUGAGCAGGACUUAGUUUGAUACAAUACACUAAAUUCAAAUUUAAAGCUAACUGACGAAAGAAGAGCAGCACAUACAAAACAGUUUGGUUCUGUUUUUAAACCAGUAACUCAAAAACACAUUUAUAUGCUCUCUGCCUCUCUUUUCCUUGCUGCCCUCGUUGAUAUCUGGGGACCAAUUUUUCCCCAUUUUGUCAAAUUGUUUUCUAAUGCUUCUUAUGGCUCCUGAGUAGAUUAUGGCUUUGAGCUUGGGAAAUCUCUUUCAGAGCUCUCUGCGCGCCUGACAUGGACUCAGUCAAUUUAAUCAGAAUCUGUUUUCUUCUUUCUCUCUCCCCCCGCCCCCGCCGACAACUUUCUCCAUUCACACAUGCUUCUCCCAGAGUUGGUUCGCUCCCCCCUUGCCCUGCACUGUAUCUUUAAGGAGAAAAGUUAUGUGAUGUAUCUUUGGAAGGUGGCAGGUGGCGCGGGUGGUGCUGUGGUCUAAACCACUGAGCCUCUUGGGCUUGCUGAUCAGAAGGUUGGCAGUUCGAAUCCACACAAUGGGGUGAGCUCCUGUUGUUCUGUCCCAGCUCCUGCCAACCUAGCAGCUUGAAAGCAUACCAGUGCAAGUAGAUGAAUAGGUAGGGAAGGUAAACGGGAAGGUAAACGGCAUUUCCAUGUGCUCUGGUUUCAGUCACGGUUUUCUGUUGCACCAAAAGUGCUUUAGCCAUGCUGGCCACAUGAUCCAGAAAGCUGUCUGCAGGUGAAUGCCAGCUCCCUCGGCCUGAAAGCGAGAUGAGCACCACACCCCAUAGUCGAAUUCGACUGGACUUAACUGUCCAGGGGUCCUUUACCUUGGAAGGUUAUCAACAAAGUGACAAAAUUCCUGUGAGUCUGGAAGAGGAACAAGGAAGAAUUUCAAUUCAGUUCACACUGAAAGCAAACCUCCCUAAUUCACACUUUCUGAAAGAAUGCACAAACCAGAAUACAGCCUUUUUCCAAAAUUUGCUCUUCUUUUAAUUUUGCUACGCAGUUCUCCCACCAAAUAAAAUGUGCAUACAAGUUCAUAGUUCCAGAGAAAAUAAGGGGAACUCAGAUCAAUUGAAAAACUGUUGGAUGAAUUAAGAAAAAUGAAAUUCGGAUCUAAUCAAUGGAGUCACUUGUUUUGAUUAUAGGUUACAAAAAGCAAUGAACAGUGUAAAGGAAAAAAAAGUAUUUAAUAAUAUAGUAGAACAAAUAUUAUGUUAGACAUAAGAUUCUUUUUUCACUUAGGAUUUUUAUUAAUUUUUCAUAGCUUUAACUAAUUACAGUAAAUUAGACAGAAGAUUAUUUACCCUUCAUGACUAAGCAGGGCUUUGAACCUGGGUCUCCCAGGUCUGCUCUAGCCACUACACCAUGCUGGCUCAUGCUGAAAAAAAUGUUUUCAGCAGCUGCCAAAAAGAGGACAGUGUUAGUAGUGGGUGCCGCCACACUAAAAGACUGAUGUCUUACAAAUGCGGAAAGUCGUUGACAUUUAGUGCGCUACGUAAAGGUUAGCCUUGAAACCACUCUCCAGAGUAUUUCAGCCUAAGCAUAAUGAAAACACUGCCUCUACAUACUUUUAAAAAUGGAAAGGGGCAUAUCUUACAUUUCAAAUGUGUGCUUUAUGUUUUAAAAAUCAUGCAGAAUUCAUGCAAUUUUGAUGUGCCUCCUUCAAAAAUAAAAAUAAAAAUCAGCUCCAAACAGCACAGAUUAGAGCUAUGAAUGAGGGCCAGCAAGAUUGAAAUGCAAUUGAAUUAAGCCAUACAGACCAUCCCUAUUUCCCUGUAACCUAGAAAAAUGCAGAUCCUGAGCAAAUGUUCUCCUCCCACCUCAUCAAGCCGCCUUACAAACUCUCGUCUACCGCUUUCAAUCUGGCACCUCCAAAAUUAGACUGCGUGUUCUUUCAGAAAUGGGACCAGAUCUUCUUUUCCAUACUGCAGAAGCCUCUCUCACACUUUUUGGAAAAGGAGAUCUGAAAUGAAAUACUUCUGCCUCUUUCCAAUCAGAUAUACAUAUGCUUCCAUCCAAAUGCUUUAUUUAUUGCAGCCUGGGGCUUUCCGUUCAAUGUAUCAAUGCUGGUCAAGAACGCCAAAAGACAGGACUUCUGUCUACACAGCCAUCUUUUAUAUGGCACAAUUCAAAAAUAAAAUAAACGUCUCAUGUGAAUGUGCAAUGAUGGAUAUUAAAAGCUGCAUGUCAGGGUCUCAUUCUUUUAAGGAUCAAAUGUGUUUUACUGUAAUGUAAUUUUACAUUACUUUUAAAGUUUUCUCCUGGGCCACAGCUAUGCUUAUGUAGAGAAAUAAGGAAAAUCAAAAAGUUUGGUUUGAUGGCCGCUAUUGGAACACUUUGAGGAAAACUUGUUGGAGUCAUAGACCUGGGGUAACCUGUAGAUGGCAACAGACCAAGAAAAAAUGGCAUAGCUGGUUUAAAAAUGACCUGUCUUGCAGGAAUUAGCUGGUGAAGCUUUUUACAAGGAUGAAUGCUGUCGGCUGCUAAUUGCUACAGGAGCUAAGAGAAAAGUUGACAAGCCUAGCCAGGCAGAGGAUGGUGAGUAGCAAGCUGGAAAUGCAUUCAUUAAGAGAGAAAGGGUGGUCAGCAGCAAGAACAAGAGAGGGGGAGAGAGAGAGAGAGAAAUUAGCUUUAAACAAAUAGAACCUGCAACAAAACAUUGCAGAAUGGAACGUGCCCAUUGCCAGAACACUCCACUGCCCAGGAGUACCAACUUGGACCCGUGACCAUGGGUGCCCAGGGCCGUGGGUGCCAUGCAGUGUGCAUUGCCCUGGCACCAAAAUUUAUAGGUGCCCAGUUCCUUCAUGGGGAAUUUUGUGGAUGCUCGGGCAGCCAGGUCCCCUGGGAGAUGGCACCUAUACCAUUGCCCCUCCCUUGGUUUUCCAGUCCUAUGCUCUCAACAAGGUCCCCUUUCCUUCUACUGAAAGAUUGGGGGGGAGCAGGGGCUUGAUUUCUAAACACCUCCCCGUUGCAUACCGAUGGCGACAUCUCAGCUACAUCAGCAACAGCACUCAAAGCCUGCACAUUGGAGACAGAGGAAAUGCUUUCAAAGCUUUUGCAAUUGUAUAUGGGUAAAGGCUGUGGCCAAUUAAGACUCAAAGACUUAAUUCUCACUGAGGUAGGAAGCCUGUCUCUUUAAAAUGUACCACUUUGGAUCGCAAUGCUUGGGGCUGGGGCAGGCAGCCCCACAUAGCAUGACCCAUAAUAAAAGAUUCUAGGAGAUGUAGUAAGAACCUGUGGAGAGAACCAUAUUGACCACCCAUGGCCUACAUAAGAAGAGCCUAACUGCUGGAUUAGGCCAAAGGCCCGUCUAGUCCUAUUUUUCACAGUGUCCAACCAGAUUCCCAUGGGGAGCCUGCAAGCAGGACCUGAGCACAACAGCACUCUCCCCAUUUGUGAAUCCCAGAAACUCGUAUUCAGAGGCAUACUUUCUCCAACAGUGGAAGUGGAUCCUAGCCUAGCCAUCACAGCUAGUUGCCAACAAUACCCUUAUUCUCUUUCAAAGCCAUCCAAGUUGGUGGCUGUAACUACCUCUAAUGGGAGUAAAUUCCAUAUUUCAACCAUGCACGGUGUGAAGAAGUAUCUCCUUUUUGUAUGUCCUAAUUUUUCCAACAUUCAGCUCAUUGGAAGGCUCUGGGUUCUAGUAUUAUGAGAGAUGCUGUUAUGUACUGAGCUGAAUCCUAGAACAAUAGGAUCCAGAAUGCAGCAGUCUGAUUGGUCCGCAGGAGCCACCCAAUCCAGCUCCAGGUGGAAGUGAAUCAGCGACCUGAUUGGCCAGCAGGAGCAGCCAAUCAAGCUUCUGGUGGAGGUGAAUCCACAACCUGAUUGGCCUACAGGAGCAGACCGGAAUUAGCCAAUCACGUGGGGCCCAUUGUGUAAAUAAUGUAUAUAUAGCUAGACGUUUAGGGAAAAGUUUCAUUCAUUGCUACUAUGAGCUGAAUAAAGAGCAUGAAAUUC
rnacentral:lncRNA from 1 species